rnacentral:rRNA from 1 species
UACGUAGGUGGCUAGCGUUGUCCGGAAUCAUUGGGCGUAAAGCGCGUGUAGGCGGCCCGGUAAGUCCGCUGUGAAAGUCGGGGGCUCAACCCUCGAAAGCCGGUGGAUACUGUCGGGCUCGAGUGCGGAAGAGGCGAGUGGAAUUCCUGGUGUAGCGGUAAAAUGCGCAGAUAUCAGGAGGAACACCGAUUGCGAAGGCAGCUCGCUGGGACGUUACUGACGCUGAGACGCGAAAGCGUGGGGAGCAAACAGG